rnacentral:tRNA from 1 species
CAGAGGAUAGUUUAAGUAGAAUCCUAGCUUUGGGAGUUAGGGGUGGAGGUUAAAUUCCUUCUCCUUUGA